CUCGAGCGUUGCCUCUCCCUCUUUCUUUCACACGACCCUCAUAGAACUCCUCUCCUGGAUGACUAUCUAAAAUGCUUGAUCGUCGAAGCAGACAAUGUGGGCUCCAAGCAGAUACAAACCAUAUGCUGUUCCCUCUGUGGCAAAAUUGUGUGGCCACCUAGAGAACAACUCUUUAGAGAAGCUCCCGCCCCACAUUAAAGAAUGUGUGGGUUUUGUCUUCACCAAGAAAGACCUGGCUCUUGGACUGGGUUCUACUAAAGAAAAAGUCAUGUUAUAGCAACGCUUGGAUGACCAUCCAAAAUGCUUCGUCGGAUCAGACAAUGUGGGCUCCAAGCAGAUAGAUGCAGACCAUCCACUGUACUCUUCGUGGCAAAGCCGUGGUGCUGAUGGGUAAAAACAUCAUGAUGCGCAAGGCUGUGUGUCCACCUGGAGAUCAACUCUGCUUUAGAGAAGCUUCCGCCCCACAUUAAAGAAUGUGUGGGUUUUGUCUUCACCAAGAAAGACCUGGCUCUUGGACUGGGUUCUACUAAAGAAAAAGUCAUGUUAUAGCAACGCUUGGAUGACCAUCCAAAAUGCUUCGUCGGAUCAGACAAUGUGGGCUCCAAGCAGAUAGAUGCAGACCAUCCACUGUACUCUUCGUGGCAAAGCCGUGGUGCUGAUGGGUAAAAACAUCAUGAUGCGCAAGGCUUGUGUGUCCACCUGGAGAUCAACUCUGCUUUAGAGAAGCUCCCGCCCCACAUUAAAGAAUAUGUGGGUUUUGUCUUCAUCAAGAAAGACCUGGCUCUUGGACUGGGUUCUCCUAAAGAGAAAGUCAUGUUAUAGCAAUGCUUGGAUGACCAUCCAAAAUGCUUCGUCGGAGCAGACAAUGUGUGCUCCAAGCAGAUAGAUGCAGACCAUCCGCUGUGCUCUUCGUGGCAAAGCCGUGGUGCUGAUGGGUAAAAACAUCAUGAUGCGCAAGGCUGUGUGGCCACCUGGAGAUCAACUCUGCUUUGGAGAAGUGAGUUGUCCCACUUUUUGAAAAUCAGUUGCAGGACAGUUAUGGUACAGCUUGUGUGGUGCUGUAUUGUCGUUCCCCCUGCAAAAAGUAAACUGUUUCCAAGCUAUCCCUGUUUGUCCAAACCUCCUGACAGCCAGGGACGCAAGGUCUCAGACAUGUG